rnacentral:misc_RNA from 1 species
GUCACAAUUUCAUAUGUAUUGCUCUCAUUUGCCACGGCAGUCAGCAUCUCAAGCUUAAGCUUUUUGACAUAAAAUGGUUCAUUGUAUUGGCAGUAGAAGUGCUUGUAGUCAGCUGAAAAAAUAUAGGGUGCGCGCAUCACCAGCAAAUGUAGAUGGCUUAGCACAGCAUAGGAUUGCUCUGGACCUCCUGAGCUAACUAGCGUAAGUAGAGGUGCUUUUAUACGCUCAUAUACCUGUUGAUGAAUGUCAGCCAUGGAGAGUGUCAGUUGCAGAAAUAACUUGAUUGUUGCCAAGACAACAGCACCAUUAGCAUGUUGAAGCCUAUCUUCGAGAAGAUUCAUCAUGUCAAAUAUCUCAUUACUGUCAGAAGGCACAUACUUAGAAACCAAAUCAAGAAUAGCGCAUUGAGCCCAUUCGCUGAAUUCCUUGAACCUAUUCAAAAGGUAAUAAAUAAGUGGCUUGCUUAGCAGGGAUUCUCUUUCUGUUGAUGCUUCCUCAGAUUUGGUUGCUUCCAAACCCCAGAUUUCCUGUAGAGCGCACAAACAGUUGGCUACAACCUGAGCUUCCCUAUCAUUCAGCAUCAAGUGCUUAAGCGUAGCAGGAAAAUCCGCAUCCAUGCAAGUUGAUUCUGAGAUAUGGUACAACUUCAAAACACCCAUGGCUGCAACUGUCCUAACAUAACUAUUUGAAUCCUUCAACCCUGCACCCAAGGGGUCAACCAAGUACUCGACCAAAUUUGUCACCCGCAAAGAACACAAGCUCCGUAGAGCCAAACCACGAAUCAUGGGAUCUUCAUCUUUGCAAUCCCUCUGAAGAAAAUUAAUGGUCAAAAGCGCGAGAUCUGGGUUGUGUUUAGCAUAGUUACCAACAUAAAGGUAGCACAUCUUCUUUAGCACAAUGUCUGAGGUUGCUGAACACAUAACCAUUUCACUGAAAACUGAAGAAACAUCGAUCCCAAUUGUCAUACACGAGAUCACCUUCUUAAACAACUCCCUCUUUGCAUCAUCAGUACCCGGAGCUCGACUACCCGCCAACUGCCUAAGCUGCAUCUUCAAAUCCGAAACUUCCCCUUUUCCGGAAGGUUGAGAAGGUGAAGGUGAUCGAUGAGUUUGAGCUGGAGGAGCCAUUGAUGCACACCCACUGGAUCUUGAUUCUUUGUCUCUACAAGAAAUGGAUCUCAGUUUUGGUUUCUG